UACGUAGGGGCAAGCGUUGUCCGGAAUCAUUGGGCGUAAAGAGCGUGUAGGCGGCCCGAUAAGUCCGACUGUGAAAGUCCCAGGGCUCAACCCUGGGAUGCCGGUGGAUACUGUCGGGCUCGAGUCCGGAAGAGGCGAGUGGAAUUCCUGGUGUAGCGGUGAAAUGACGCAGAUAUCAGGAGGAACACCAAUGGCGAAGGCAGCUCGCUGGGACGUGACUGACGCUGAGACGCGAAGCGUGGGGAGCAAACAGG
rnacentral:rRNA from 1 species